rnacentral:rRNA from 1 species
AUGCUACGGCCUAAAGGAAGAGGUGGUAUGGGCUUCAAGGAUCUUCGGUUGUUUAAUCAAUCUCUGUUAGCACGUCAAGCAUGGCGUCUCAUAGAAUUUCCGGAUAGCCUUUGUGCUCAGGUUCUCCGUGCGAAGUACUACCCGUCUGGCAAUAUUACAGAUACAGUUUUUACAGGUAAUGGGUCAAGCACUUGGUUGGCUAUUGAACAUGGCUUG